rnacentral:rRNA from 1 species
AGAGUUUGAUUAUGGCUCAGAUUGAACGCUGGCGGCAUGCCUAACACAUGCAAGUCGAACGGAAACGAUGAAGAGCUUGCUCUUCAGGCGUCGAGUGGCGGACGGGUGCGUAACGCGUAGGAAUCUACCUUAUAGUGGGGGACAACUCGAGGAAACUCGAGCUAAUACCGCAUAACCCUUACGAGGGAAAGCAGGGGAUCUUCGGACCUUGCGCUAUUAGAUGAGCCUGCGUCGGAUUAGCUAGUUGGUAGGGUAAUGGCCUACCAAGGCAACGAUCCGUAGCUGGUCUGAGAGGACGACCAGCCACACUGGGACCGAGACACGGCCCAGACUCCUACGGGAGGCAGCAGUGGGGAAUAUUGGACAAUGGGCGCAAGCCUGAUCCAGCAAUGCCGCGUAUGUGAAGAAGGCCCUAGGGUUGUAAAGCACUUUCAGUAGGGAAGAAAUGCGUGUAGUUAAUAACUGCGCGUCUUGACGGUACCUACAGAAGAAGCACCGGCUAACUCCGUGCCAGCAGCCGCGGUAAUACGGAGGGUGCAAGCGUUAAUCGGAAUUACUGGGCGUAAAGCGCGCGUAGGCGGCUAUAUAAGUCGGAUGUGAAAGCCCUGGGCUCAACCUGGGAACUGCAUUCGAUACUGUAUAGCUAGAGUUUGGUAGAGGGAAGUGGAAUUCCACAUGUAGCGGUGAAAUGCGUAGAUAUGUGGAGGAACACCAGUGGCGAAGGCGACUUCCUGGACCAAAACUGACGCUGAGGUGCGAAAGCGUGGGUAGCAAACAGGAUUAGAUACCCUGGUAGUCCACGCCGUAAACGAUGUC